AAGCCAUGCAUGUCUAAGUUUAAGCAAUUAAACCGCGAAACUGCGAAUGGCUCAUUAAACCAGUUAUAGUUUAUUUGAUAGUACCUUACUACAUGGAUAACCGUGGUAAUUCUAGAGCUAAUACAUGCUAAAAACCCCGACUUCGGAAGGGGUGUAUUUAUUAGAUUAAAAACCAAUGCCCUUCGGGGCUAACUGGUGAUUCAUAAUAACUUCUCGAAUCGCAUGGCCUUGCGCUGGCGAUGGUUCAUUCAAAUUUCUGCCCUAUCAACUUUCGACGGCUGGGUCUUGGCCAGCCAUGGUGACAACGGGUAACGGAGGGUUAGGGCUCGACCCCGGAGAAGGAGCCUGAGAAACGGCUACUACAUCCAAGGAAGGCAGCAGGCGCGCAAAUUACCCAAUCCCGACACGGGGAGGUAGUGACAAUAAAUACUGAUACAGGGCUCUUUUGGGUCUUGUAAUUGGAAUGAGUACAAUUUAAAUCCCUUAACGAGGAACAAUUGGAGGGCAAGUCUGGUGCCAGCAGCCGCGGUAAUUCCAGCUCCAAUAGCGUAUAUUAAAGUUGUUGAGGUUAAAAAGCUCGUAGUUGAACCUUGGGCUCGGCCCGUCGGUCCGCCUCACCGCGUGCACUGACUGGGUCGGGCCUUUUUUCCUGGAGAACCGCAUGCCCUUCACUGGGUGUGUCGGGGAACCAGGACUUUUACCGUGAACAAAUCAGAUCGCUCAAAGAAAGGCCUAUGCUCGAAUGUACUAGCAUGGAAUAAUAGAAUAGGACGUGUGGUUCUAUUUUGUUGGGUUUCUAGGACCGCCGUAAUGAUUAAUAGGGACAGUCGGGGCAUCAGUAUUCAAUUGUCAGAGGUGAAAUUCUUGGAAUUUAUUGAAGACUAACUACUGCGAAAGCAUUGGCCAAGGAUGUUUUCUUAGUCGAACUGUACGGGAUCGAAGACGAUCAGAAUACCGUCGUAGUCUUACCAUAAACUAUGCCGAUUAGGGAUCGAC
rnacentral:rRNA from 1 species